rnacentral:rRNA from 1 species
UACGUAGGGUGCGAGCGUUGUCCGGAAUUAUUGGGCGUAAAGAGCUCGUAGGCGGUUCGUCGCGUCGAAUGUGAAAACCCGGGGCUCAACUCCGGGCCUGCAUUCGAUACGGGCGGACUAGAGUUCGGUAGGGGAGACUGGAAUUCCUGGUGUAGCGGUGAAAUGCGCAGAUAUCGGGAGGAACACCAAUGGCGAAGGCAGCUCGCUGGGACGUUACUGACGCUGAGACGCGAAAGCGUGGGGAGCAAACAGG